GACGAACCGUCCGAACGUUAUUCGGAAUCACUGGGCUUAAAGGGCUCGUAGGCGGCCAACUAAGUCGGAUGUGAAAUCCCCAGGCUCAACUUGGGAACUGCAUCCGAUACUGGAUGGCUUGAAUUCGGGAGAGGGAUGCAGAAUUCCAGGUGUAGCGGUGAAAUGCGUAGAUAUCUGGAGGAAUACCGGUGGCGAAGGCGGCAUCCUGGACCGACAUUGACGCUGAGGAGCGAAAGCUAGGGGAGCGAACAGG
rnacentral:rRNA from 1 species